ACACUCAAAUAGCAUCAAAUAGUUCAAAUAGCAUCAAAUAGUUCCUGCAAAACUUUGGUUAUAUGUUGUGUCGUUACUAUCCUGAAGUAUGAAUCCUUUGCCACAAAGAUGCAAACCAGGAUCGAGUUACUUCUCACUUACAGAGAGCAUGUAUAGAAGCAUGAUGAAAUGGAGCAACACUCAUGUUCCAGAGUCUGAGGCUCUGGAGGACCGGCUGCUGAGUGUGGAGGUCUCCGAGGUGAAUGUGGACCUUCUCAUGAUGAUCAUGGAAGCGGUGGCGUCCAUUGCUGCUUUUGUCAGAUUCU